AGUGUAUCAUCUUUCUUGCUGCCCUUGAAGAGUGGUGUCCAGUGAAUCUUUCAAAGAAUGAUACUGAGCUUCAUUGUUGAUGAACAAAAAUGCAAAUCUCACCCAGAGCAUGCAGGAACAUGUGAGCAAUAAUUCAUUUACUCAUCAUGUUAAAUUUAUCAUUCAGAAAACAGAUCUUCACACCAUGUCUUCUCUUGACCUUUGUAGGCUAUAAUCACUACACUCCUAGAAUGUGAUCUCUUUCAAUAUUGACUGCAUCCAUGCCUUCCACACACUUGCACCAGUUGGGAGGAUGGAGAUGUCAUCUGGGCAGAGGGAGAAGAGCAGUACCAUUCAGAGGUCUGUCCCUCUUAAGAUAUAUUCUCUCUGUCAACCUAGCAUUCAAUGAACGUCUUAGAAAGGUGAUGGUAAUGUCUAGACCAAACAAAAGAAGAAUAGGAAUCUGUUCAGGUAAGUAAAAAAGAUAGUCUGUCCUCUUUUAGAGUUUUUGUGCUCAGAGGUGAAGUUUUCCCCUCACAUACCUAAUAAAAACUAUAAUUUGCAUUAUAAACUCCCUGCUACGUAGGUUCCUAAGUGGUGGACCAUCUUGACCUUUUAAUUAUUAAUGCUUUUCCUCAAAUUACAAUUAUUUGAGGAAUAAUUACAAUCCCUGUCCUGCUAACUGGCAAUUUUCUAAUAGAGUUUUCAUUUUUCCAUAUUUCAUUAAUUGCAACUUGCGUAUCAUAUAAUGAUAGAAUCUUCAGAACAGUACCUUGUUAACUGGAAAGGUUAUGAAAUGCUAAUGAGCUCUUUUAAAUGGCUAACUCCCUAUAAGACUUUCCAGAUUCUUUCUUUUCUUUAAUGUUUCUUAUAUUUUUAGACAUUCUUCCUUGUAAAGUAUUCUUCAAGAUUAUUUUAAAUAUUCUUGAAAAGAAGUUAACAUAUUUGAUGGCCUUCUGUAUGUUGAACCUGCU
rnacentral:lncRNA from 1 species